rnacentral:rRNA from 1 species
UACGGAGGGUGCAAGCGUUAUCCGGAUUCACUGGGUUUAAAGGGUGCGUAGGUGGGUAUGUAAGUCAGAGGUGAAAUCCCCGAGCUUAACUUGGGAACUGCCUUUGAUACUAUAUAUCUUGAAUGUCGUAGAGGUAAGCGGAAUAUGUCAUGUAGCGGUGAAAUGCUUAGAUAUGACAUAGAACACCAAUUGCGAAGGCAGCUUACUAUGCGAUUAUUGACACUGAGGCACGAAAGCGUGGGUAGCAAACAGG